rnacentral:lncRNA from 1 species
CUUUGUUCUGGCUUUCCAAUUGUCAUCUAGGCGGAAGGCAGAUCCCAGUGCUGCCUGCCAUGAGAAUGAAGCUAGAGACUGUGGACCAAAGUGCUGAGUCAGGAAGGAGACUGCGGGUGUCCUCACGAUGCAAGCCAGUGGUGCAGUGAAGGAUUUUGAAGGUGUGAUUCAACUCUCCAGACCUGGGAGCAUGAGACCAUAUCCAAGGGCAGGACAGAGAAGACAGAAGCCCUGGAAAUGUGAGACAGUGUGAGAGGACUUUGUCUUUAAGGACUGUCACUGGGUGGCAGGUAACCCACAAGCUAGACUGGUGGCCUCCUUGUUCCGUGGGAAAGACUAUCUUUGCUGUAAGAGCCACUGUCAUCACCAACCACCUAGAAAUGGCUUCAGCUCUGAAUAUCCCAGCAUGAUGGAAGAUCAACAGAGGAUCCACCACACCCCCAAUACUAUCCCCAUUUCCUGCUACAAAGACGCAAACAAUGUGUGUGAAUACCCGGAGAGCUGAGCUAGGAGAAAAAC